rnacentral:rRNA from 1 species
GACAGAGGUGCCGAGCGUUAGGCGGAAUCACUGGGCUUAAAGCGUGUGUAGGCGGGUCGUUAAGUGCCUUGUGAAAUCCCACAGCUCACCUGUGGAACUGCUUGGCAUACUGGCGGUCUUGAGCCACUUAGGGGCAACCGGAACAAACGGUGGAGCGGUGAAAUGCGUAGAUAUUGGAAAGACCACCGAUGGCGAAGGCACUCUACUGGGCCAUUACUGACACUGAGAGACGAAAGCUAGGGGAGCAAAUGGG